rnacentral:rRNA from 1 species
UGGUGGAGUGAUUUGUCUGGUUUAUUCCGAUAACGAACGAGACUCUGGCCUACUAACUAGUGCGCGGGUCCUCUUCGCCCGCCGCGCUUCUUAGAGGGACAAGCAGUGCUCAGCUGCAUGAGAAAGAGCAAUAACA